CAGCCGCCGCGGUAAUACAGAGGGUGCGAGCGUUAAUCGGAUUUACUGGACGUAAAGCGUGCGUAGGCGGCUUUUUAAGUCGGAUGUGAAAUCCCCGAGCUUAACUUGGGAAUUGCAUUCGAUACUGGGAAGCUAGAGUAUGGGAGAGGAUGGUAGAAUUCCAGGUGUAGCGGUGAAAUGCGUAGAGAUCUGGAGGAAUACCGAUGGCGAAGGCAGCCAUCUGGCCUAAUACUGACGCUGAGGUACGAAAGCAUGGGGAGCGAACAGGAUUAGAUACCCCUGUAGUCCCUGUCUCUUAUAC
rnacentral:rRNA from 1 species